GACGCGCUGGCCCGGAACCGCGACCGCGCCGAGCCACAGCGCCCCCUGCGGGCGGGAGGAGCAGGCGCUGGCCGGGGGCGCUGGUGCAGCCUGAAGGGGCGGCGGCCUCAGCCUGCCUGUCCCGGACGGACCCUCGGACUGCCCGGAGCGGCCAGGGGCGGCAGACAGCCGGAGAACCGGAGAGAGAGGUGGAGAUGGAGAGGGAAGUGACGGAGGCAGGGAGACGCGCUCUUCCCAGAAACGGACUGAGAGAGCAAGAGGGAGGGAGGGAGGGUUUGGUUCCUCCUCAAAGCGGACCCCGAGCCAAAGGUGCGGGGCAAGGAAGGGUGCAUCAGUAAGGUGAGCCCAGGAAUGAGCGGGAAAAGGGGCCGGACGGUAAAGGGGCAUCACCGGGGCGCAGGUGGGCCUGUGUGGGCCCCCGGGUGCACCUGCAGGCGCCUGAGGCUGGCCCAGGGGACAAGGGGAACACGGGCAGUUUAUGGGGAGACAGCGGGACAAAGAGGUGCAGAACACGACACAGAAUGUCAGAAACGGGGAGAGAGAGGGAGGGGCCCAGGGAGGAGGUACCAGGGAGAGCGAGACAGAAAAAGAUGAGAGAGGGAGAGGCGGGGGGCAGUUGUCCCCAGGAAACCCACCUCGGAAGCCAUCCCAGUCAUAUUUUAGGCAUUGGGCUGUAGUAACCUAAAGGAAAAUUGUGUAGCUCGAGGGAGGGCACCUAGAGUAGAAAUAAAACAGUAAUAAAAUGAGGUGUGUAUGUUGGAGUGUGUGCACACACCUCCGUUUGGUAUGGAAUAGAGAAAUAGCUUGGUAUGGAACUGUGCACAUGUACCUUGCUGUUUAUAGUGUUUCACUUUAAAAAAUGAUACAGUAAGAUUGACCUGUUUUUGGUGCGUAGCACUAGGAAUUUUAGUACAUGAAUACGUAUGUGUAACAGAUGCAAUCAGGCUAUUGAAGAUUUCAUCUCUGUCCCAAAAUGUCCCUUUUCUUUUUUAUCCACCUCCCUUUCCACCUCUGUAACCCCUAGAAAAGAAUGAUUUGUUUCUGUCACUAUAGUUUUUAUUUUUCAAAAAUGUCACAUAAAUAGAAUCAUACAGUCUGUCAAUUUUCUUAUCAGACUUCUCAAAAUAUCAUGCUUUUGUGAUUCCUCUUCAUUGUUGAGUGUGACAAUAGUUUAUUUACUUGUUUAAAAAUUUGUAUUUAUUUGACAGGCAGAGAGAGAGGGAGAGAGCACCCAUCAUGUGGUUUACUCACCAAAUGCCUACAACAGAGGCUGGACUAGAGCUGAAGCAGGAAACUGGGAGAGAUUUACUGAUUUAUUUGAAAGAGAGGGGGCAGGAGAGAGAGAAAGAGAGAGAGAUGGAUUUUCCAUCUGCUGGUUCAUUCCCCAAAUGGCCUCAAUAGCCAGGGCUGGGCCAGGCUGAAGCCAGGAGCCAGGAGCUUCUUCCCCAUCUCCCAGGUGGGUGGCAGGGGCUGAAGCACUUGGGUCAUCUUUUGCUGCCUCAGCCCCAGGCCAUUAGCAGAGAGCUGGAUCAGAAGUGUACCAGCUGGGACGUGACCCCAUGCCCAUCAGGAAUGCUGGCAUUGCAGACAGUGGCCUUACCCACUAUGCCACGAUGCCGUCCCUGGGAACAGGGAACUCAAUCCAGGUCUCCCAGGUGGAUGGCAGGACCCAAUUACUUGAACCAUCCCUGCUGCCUCCCAGCGCACUGGAACCAUCCCUGCUGCCUCCCAGCGCACUGGCUGGAAGCUGGAGACAGGAGUCGGAGGCAGAGUUACAGACAGAGAUCUUGCAUCUACGGGUUCACUCCCCAGAUGGCCGCAACUGCUGGAGCUGCGAUGAUCUGAAGCCAGGAGCCAAGAGCCUCUUCCAGGUCUCCCACCCGAGUGCAGGGGCCCAAGGACUUGGGCCAUCUUCUACUGCUUCCCCAGGCCACAGCAGAGAGCUAGAUCGGACGUAGAGCAGCCGGGUCUCGAACCAGCACCCACAUGGGAUGCCGGCACUGCAGGUGGCGGCUUCACCUACUAUGCCACAGUGCAAGCUCUGCAUGUACUUUCUUGUACUUUUACUAUGAGCCUUUAGAACUGUGAGCCAAAAUAAAUUUCUUUAUAAACUUA